rnacentral:lncRNA from 12 species
AAUGGUGGCCCCUGUUCUGGACCUAAUCCUUGUUCUUUACCUGUGAUGUCGUCAUUCGAGUGCUGGUGACCUGGCAGAUGGAGGUCCUGGGGGCGACAGGAGGCUGAGCUAUCAUCCACGCUAUGAUCAUACGUGAGUUACUUCUUACCUCCAGGCUGGACGUUUAUACAGUUUCAUCAGGAAUCCCAAGUGAUUCUUACCACCGAAGAAGUUUUGGAAACACAUUUCAAUGAGACUGCUUCUCGGAGAGGUUCCCCAAAGAAAAAG